GAUGAACGCUGGCGGCGUGCCUAAUACAUGCAAGUCGAGCGAACAGACGAGGAGCUUGCUCCUCUGACGUUAGCGGCGGACGGGUGAGUAACACGUGGAUAACCUACCUAUAAGACUGGGAUAACUUCGGGAAACCGGAGCUAAUACCGGAUAAUAUAUUGAACCGCAUGGUUCAUAAGUGAAAGACGGUUUUGCUGUCACUUAUAGAUGGAUCCGCGCCGCAUUAGCUAGUUGGUAAGGUAACGGCUUACCAAGGCAACGAUGCGUAGCCGACCUGAGAGGGUGAUCGGCCACACUGGAACUGAGACACGGUCCAGACUCCUACGGGAGGCAGCAGUAGGGAAUCUUCCGCAAUGGGCGAAAGCCUGACGGAGCAACGCCGCGUGAGUGAUGAAGGUCUUCGGAUCGUAAAACUCUGUUAUUAGGGAAGAACAAAUGUGUAAGUAACUAUGCACAUCUUGACGGUACCUAAUCAGAAAGCCACGGCUAACUACGUG
rnacentral:rRNA from 1 species